rnacentral:rRNA from 1 species
AUUGAACGCUGGCGGCAGGCCUAACACAUGCAAGUCGAACGGUAGCACAGAGAGCUUGCUCUCGGGUGACGAGUGGCGGACGGGUGAGUAAUGUCUGGGAAACUGCCUGAUGGAGGGGGAUAACUACUGGAAACGGUAGCUAAUACCGCAUAACGUCGCGAGACCAAAGAGGGGGACCUUCGGGCCUCUUGCCAUCAGAUGUGCCCAGAUGGGAUUAGCUAGUAGGUGGGGUAACGGCUUACCUAGGCGACGAGCCCUAGCUGGCCUGAGAGGAUGACCAGCCACACUGGAACUGAGCCACGGUGCAGACUCCUACGGGAGGCAGCAGUGGGGAAGAUUGCACAAUGGGCGCAAGCCUGAUGCAGCCAUGCCGCGUGUAUGAAGAAGGCCUUCGGGCUGUAAAGUACUUUCAGCGGGGAGGAAGGGAGUAAGGUUAAUAACCUUAUUCAUUGACGUUACCCGCAGAAGAAGCACCGGCUAACUCCGUGCCAGCCGCCGCGGUAA